rnacentral:rRNA from 1 species
UUUUUAUGAGAGUUUGAUCCUGGCUCAGGACGAACGCUGGCGGCGUGCCUAAUACAUGCAAGUCGAACGCUUCUUUUUCCAUCGGAGCUUGCUCCACCGGAAAAAGAGGAGUGGCGAACGGGUGAGUAACACGUGGGUAACCUGCCCAUCAGAAGGGGAUAACACUUGGAAACAGGUGCUAAUACCGUAUAACAAUCGAAACCGCAUGGUUUUGAUUUGAAAGGCGCUUUCGGGUGUCGCUGAUGGAUGGACCCGCGGUGCAUUAGCUAGUUGGUGAGGUAACGGCUCACCAAGGCGACGAUGCAUAGCCGACCUGAGAGGGUGAUCGGCCACAUUGGGACUGAGACACGGCCCAAACUCCUACGGGAGGCAGCAGUAGGGAAUCUUCGGCAAUGGACGAAAGUCUGACCGAGCAACGCCGCGUGAGUGAAGAAGGUUUUCGGAUCGUAAAACUCUGUUGUUAGAGAAGAACAAGGAUGAGAGUAACUGUUCAUCCCUUGACGGUAUCUAACCAGAAAGCCACGGCUAACUACGUGCCAGCAGCCGCGGUAAUACGUAGGUGGCAAGCGUUGUCCGGAUUUAUUGGGCGUAAAGCGAGCGCAGGCGGUUUCUUAAGUCUGAUGUGAAAGCCCCCGGCUCAACCGGGGAGGGUCAUUGGAAACUGGGAGACUUGAGUGCAGAAGAGGAGAGUGGAAUUCCAUGUGUAGCGGUGAAAUGCGUAGAUAUAUGGAGGAACACCAGUGGCGAAGGCGGCUCUCUGGUCUGUAACUGACGCUGAGGCUCGAAAGCGUGGGGAGCAAACAGGAUUAGAUACCCUGGUAGUCCACGCCGUAAACGAUGAGUGCUAAGUGUUGGAGGGUUUCCGCCCUUCAGUGCUGCAGCUAACGCAUUAAGCACUCCGCCUGGGGAGUACGACCGCAAGGUUGAAACUCAAAGGAAUUGACGGGGGCCCGCACAAGCGGUGGAGCAUGUGGUUUAAUUCGAAGCAACGCGAAGAACCUUACCAGGUCUUGACAUCCUUUGACCACUCUAGAGAUAGAGCUUCCCCUUCGGGGGCAAAGUGACAGGUGGUGCAUGGUUGUCGUCAGCUCGUGUCGUGAGAUGUUGGGUUAAGUCCCGCAACGAGCGCAACCCUUAUUGUUAGUUGCCAUCAUUUAGUUGGGCACUCUAGCAAGACUGCCGGUGACAAACCGGAGGAAGGUGGGGAUGACGUCAAAUCAUCAUGCCCCUUAUGACCUGGGCUACACACGUGCUACAAUGGGAAGUACAACGAG